rnacentral:rRNA from 1 species
UACGGAGGGUGCAAGCGUUAUCCGGAUUCACUGGGUUUAAAGGGUGCGUAGGUGGGAAUGUAAGUCAGUGGUGAAAUCUCCGUGCUUAACAUGGAAACUGCCAUUGAUACUAUGUUUCUUGAAUUUUCUGGAGGUCAGCGGAAUAUGUCAUGUAGCGGUGAAAUGCAUAGAUAUGACCCGGAACACCGAUUGCGAAGGCAGCCCACUAAGCAACGAUUGACGCUGAGGCACGAAAGCGUGGGGAUCAAACAGG